rnacentral:rRNA from 1 species
UACGUAGGGUCCAAGCGUUGUCCGGAUUUAUUGGGCGUAAAGAGCUCGUAGGCGGUUCGGUAAGUCGGAUGUGAAAACUCAGGGCUCAACCCGGAGACGCCAUCCGAUACUGCUGUGACUGGAGUCUGGUAGGGGAUCACGGAAUACCUGGUGUAGCGGUGAAAUGCGCAGAUAUCAGGAGGAACACCAAUUGCGAAGGCAGCUCGCUGGGACGUUACUGACGCUGAGACGCGAAAGCGUGGGGAGCAAACAGG